UACGUAGGGGGCGAGCGUUGUCCGGAUUUAUUGGGCGUAAAGAGCGUGUAGGCGGCCAGGUAGGUCGGUUGUGAAAACUGGAGGCUUAACCUUCAGACGUCGACCGAAACCAUCUGGCUAGAGUCCGGAAGAGGGGAGUGGAAUUCCUGGUGUAGCGGUGAAAUGCGCAGAUAUCAGGAAGAACACCCGUGGCGAAGGCGGCUCUCUGGGACGGUACUGACGCUGAGACGCGAAAGCGUGGGGAGCGAACAGG
rnacentral:rRNA from 1 species